GAAAACAUAAUACAUUAAAGAAAACGAUUCUGGAUUUUAACGGAUUACCAAGGAACAAGUUACAGACUCUUUGCAAUAAUUGGUCGAAAAAUGGACAAUUAUGUGAACUAGAGACGUUAGCAAAAGCUGUUAGAAAAAUCCCAAGUCAUACAAUUGAAAAAUCUGUCAUAUAUCAUGCUAUAAUGAAAAUAUACAGUAACAAUAAUGAUUGUGAGUCAGCCGUGGCCUUUUGGUCAAGUUUAGAAACUGAAGACGAUUUUGGCAGAACUUCACUAGACAGCCAGCUAGUUUCAUUACUUAAACGAUGUAAAUAUGACCUUCCAGAUAGAUUAAAAUCAAAAGUGGCUGCUACAACCUAAAACAAGGUAUUAUUUAGUAAAUAUUUCAUUACGGGUACUCAGUGGAGUAUUGUUUAAACAAUUCCUAUAUCCAGGUCCUUUUUAAAGUAAAAUGUUUGAAAUGACAAUUUUUGAAGUUAUUUUGGACAUUUGUCUUGUUUGUUUUCGAUCGGUCCUGGUAAAAAAUAGAUUAAUAAAUUAACGGGAGAAUGUAGUGAAUAAUUUAUAAGGUUGUAUACAGGGAGAUUACAAAACACAGUAGAUACUCGGUUAUAUAACUGAAAAAAAAUAUCGAUUUGUUCACAUUAACGAAUGUUACAUUUAGUAUACAUACUAAAAGAAAUCAGAAAUUUUUGUUUUAAAAUGUAAAAUUUAUACGGGAAUAAGACGGUACAUCUCUGGCAAAUACGAUUAGAGAAGUAUAAUUUGGCAUAAUUAAUGUGCUGUUCACAUUAUGUGGAGUUUUAGUUAUGCAAUGUUCACACUAGCGAGUGUCAACUGCAAUUUAUAAAGAGCAACUUCUAAUUCUAAUCCCAGUACAAAACAGAAAUAUAAAACAUGUAUUUAUUUUGAGGAUUAAUUUUUUCGGUAUUUUAAUUUAAUUUUUUAAUUAACGCUCCAAUAUCUCUCAGGUUUUUGCUAUACAAAAAGUAAUAUAGUUUACGUAGUCGUGUAUACUUUUGACUGUUAACUACUGUAUGUAAUAUAUAUGUAUAAAUGUUUAAUGUUGAAUGUAUUGAUUAAGGUGACGCGUUUUCGCCUCCCACGUAUAGAAAAUAUCUAUUGUCAAGGAUCAAUUUUCACAAAAUUGCCGGACCUUCAUCAUCGUCAUCAUCUGUAAAUUACUAUUUGUCUUAAAAUUUUGGUAGUGACCGAAUUUUGCUUUGUAAAUAAAUUAUGCUUGUUAUGUAAUUUUUAUUUAUAUUUCUUGUACACUAU